rnacentral:rRNA from 1 species
UACGGAGGAUCCGAGCGUUAUCCGGAUUUAUUGGGUUUAAAGGGUGCGUAGGCGGUUUGAUAAGUUAGAGGUGAAAUGUCGGGGCUCAACCCCGAAACUGCCUCUAAUACUGUUGGACUAGAGAAUAGUUGCGGUAGGCGGAAUGUAUGGUGUAGCGGUGAAAUGCUUAGAGAUCAUACAGAACACCGAUCGCGAAGGCAGCUUACCAAACUAUAUCUGACGUUGAGGCACGAAAGCGUGGGUAGCAAACAGG